UACGUAGGUGGCAAGCGUUGUCCGGAAUUAUUGGGCGUAAAGCGCGCGCAGGCGGUCCUUUAAGUCUGAUGUGAAAGCCCACGGCUCAACCGUGGAGGGUCAUUGGAAACUGGGGGACUUGAGUGCAGGAGAGAAGAGUGGAAUUCCUAGUGUAGAGGUGAAAUUCGUAGAUAUUAGGAAGAACACCAGUGGCGAAGGCGGCUCACUGGUCCGGUACUGACGCUGAGGCGCGAAAGCGUGGGGAGCAAACAGG
rnacentral:rRNA from 1 species